rnacentral:rRNA from 1 species
AAACUAACUAGGAUGCCUUCAGUAACGGCGAGCGAAGCAGGCAUAGCUCAAAUUUGUAAUCUGGCGCCUUUGGCGUCCGAGUUGUAUUUUCUAGAAGCGAGUUCGGCGACAGCUCCUACCCAAGUCCGUUGGAACACGGCGUCAUGGAGGGUGAGAAUCCCGUGAAUGGUAGGAUGUCUGCUGCUAUGUGAACCGCCUUCGAAGAGUCGAGUUGUUUGGGAAUGCAGCUCUAAAUGGGAGGUAAAUUUCUUCUAAAGCUAAAUAUUGGCCAGAGACCGAUAGCGAACAAGUAGAGUGAUCGAAAGAUGAAAAGAACUUUGAAAAGAGAGUUAAACAGUACGUGAAAUUGUUGAAAGGGAAGCGCUUGAGAUCAGACUUCCUGUCUGGACUGUCCUUGCUUUUGCUUGGGUCAACAGUCCAGGCGUGGAGGCCAGCAUCAGUUUUGACGGCCGGAUAAAGGCCUUGGGAAGGUAGCUCCCCUCGGGGAGUGUUAUAGCCCAGGGUGUAAUACGGCCAGUUGGGACUGAGGACCGCGGCUCUGCCUAGGAUGCUGGCGUAAUGGUCUUAAGCGAC